GGUCACGUGGCCGAGUGGCUAGGCACGGGUCUGCAAAACCCUCAACGGGGGUUCGAUUCCCUCCGUGACCU
rnacentral:tRNA from 2 species